UACGUAGGGAGCGAGCGUUGUCCGGAUUUAUUGGGCGUAAAGGGCUCGUAGGCGGCCAACUAAGUCGGACGUGAAAUCCCUCAGCUUAACUGGGGAACUGCGUCCGAUACUGGAUGGCUUGGAUUUGGGAGAGGGAUGCGGAAUUCCAGGUGUAGCGGUGAAAUGCGUAGAUAUCUGGAGGAACACCGGUGGCGAAGGCGGCAUCCUGGACCGGUAUUGACGCUGAGGCGCGAAAGCUAGGGGAGCAAACGGGG
rnacentral:rRNA from 1 species